rnacentral:rRNA from 1 species
UGAGUGCGAGCUGCUACGGCAGCGAAGUUGGUGAUGUCAUGCUUCCAAGAAAAGCCCUAUACCCGUUAAGGCAUCAUGGCCUGUACCCGAAACCGACACAGGUGGGGUGGUAGAGAAUACCGAGGGGCGCGAGGUAACUCUCUCUAAGGAACUCGGCAAAAUGGCCCCGUAACUUCGGGAGAAGGGGUGCCACCGCAAGGUGGUCGCAGUGAAGAGGCCCAGGCGACUGUUUACCAAAAACACAGGUCUCCGCUACUCGCAAGACGAUGUAUGGGGGCUGACGCCUGCCCAGUGCCGGAAGGUUAAGGAAGCUGGUCAGCGCAAGCGAAGCUAGCGACUGAAGCCCCGGUGAACGGCGGCCGUAACAAUAACGGUCCUAAGGUAGCGAAAUUCCUUGUCGGGUAAGUUCCGACCCGCACGAAAGGCGUAACGAUCUGGGCGCUGUCUCGGAGAGAGGCUCGGCGAAAUAGAAUUGUCUGUGAAGAUGCGGACUACGUGCACCCGGACAGAAAGACCCUAUGAAGCUUUACUGUAGCUUGGUAUUGUGCCCGGGCUCGCAAUGCGCAGGAUAGGUGGGAGGCUUUGAUCAUCGGCUUGCGGGUCGAUGUGAGCCAACGGUGAGAUACCACUCUUUGCGAGCUAGGGUUCUAACGGCCACCCGUCAUCCGGGGGCCGGACAGUACCUGGUGGGCAGUUUGACUGGGGCGGUCGCCUCCUAAAAGGUAACGGAGGCGCGCAAAGGUUUGCUCAGGCUGGUUGGAAAUCAGCCGACGAGUGUAAAAGCAGAAGCAAGCUUGACUGUGAGACCAACAAGUCGAACAGGGAGGAAACUCGGCUUUAGUGAUCCGACGGUUCUGAGUGGAAGGGCCGUCGCUCAACGGAUAAAAGUUACUCUAGGGAUAACAGGCUGAUCUCCCCCAAGAGUUCACAUCGACGGGGAGGUUUGGCACCUCGAUGUCGGCUCAUCGCAACCUGGGGCUGAAGUCGGUCCCAAGGGUUGGGCUGUUCGCCCAUUAAAGCGGUACGCGAGCUGGGUUCAGAACGUCGUGAGACAGUUCGGUCCAUAUCCGGUGCACGCGCAGGAAUAUUGAGAGGAUUUCUCCCUAGUACGAGAGGACCGGGAGGAACGCACCUCUGGUGUACCAGUUAUCGUGCCAACGGUAAACGCUGGGUAGCCAUGUGCGGAGUGGAUAACCGCUGAAAGCAUCUAAGUGGGAAGCCCACCUCAAGAUGAGUAUUCCCAUGGCGUAAGCCAGUAAGGUCACGGGAAGAACACCCGUUGAUAGGCUCUAUGUGGAAGCGCAGUAAUGCGUGAAGCAGAGGAGUACUAAUAGACCGAGGGCUUGAUC